CUUGACCGCCUCAAAACCAGUCACCCAAUCCUAUAAAUAUAAUCCCCCACCUUCGCCUUCAUCCAUAUCCUCGACCCCUCCCCGAGUCCCCUCGCAUGGGUUACACUUUGUUGUAACCUUACCUGUUCGAUUUCAGAUUUAUUUUCUUGUGUUGCUCCUUUAGGUUCUGGUUGGUUGGUAGUUUCUGAUCGCGAGGUUGUUUUUUUUAAUCCAAUUGCUGAAUAAUUAGGGAUUUGAUUGGAUUUCUGAUAUUCGAAUUUUCCGUAAUACGUCGGCUGAAAUACUGAUUCUUGUUUCUUUCUAGGCGUCUUUCGGAUUAAUCGGUGUACUGUUUGCGCAAUGUUCGAGACGUAGGCUGUUAAUUCAAUUGUUGAAGAAUUAGGGGUUUUAAUUUUGAAUUAUGGGUUUGAAUUCAUAUUUAUGUUCUUGCCCUGCUCUAUUAGGUUUCUAAUUGGUUGAUAAUUUCUUAUCGGAGGGCUGUUUGUUUAAUUCGAUGGCUAGGGUUUGAUUGAAUUUUUGAAAUUUACCGGCUGAUUUCUUGAUUGUUGCUGCUUUCUAGGCUUCUUUCGGAUUGAUCGAUGUAGUAUUUGUGCAAUUUUUGAGAUGGAGCCUGUUAAUUCAAUUGCUGAAGAACUAGGGUUUUGAUCAAUUGUUGUUACCUGGUUUGUUCGAUUCCAGAUUUAUGUUCUUGUGUUGCUCCUUUAGGUUUCGGGUUGGUUGGUAGUUUCUGAUCGCUAGGUUGUUUUUAUUAAUCGAAUUGCUGAAUAAUUAGGGAUUUGAUUGGAUUUUUUAUGUUCGAAUUCUCCAUAAUACGUCGGCUGAUUUACCAAUUGUUGUUGCUUUCUAGGCGUCUUUCGGAUUGAUCAGUGUAAUUUUUGCGCAAUUUUUGAGACGGAGGCUGUUAAUUCAAUUGCUGAAGAAUUAGGGGUGUUAAUUAAUUUUGAAUUAUGGGUUUGAAUUCAUAUGUUUGUUCUUGCACUGCUCUAGAAGGUUUAUGAUUGGUUGAUAAUUACUUCUCGGAGGCUGUUUGUUUAAUUCAAUUGCUGAAUAAUUAGGGAUUGAUUGAAUUUCUGAAAUUUAUAUUCUCCGAAAUUUACCGGCUGAUUUCUUGAUUGUUGCUGCUUUCUUUUUCGGAUUGCUUGGUGUACGUAGUAUUUGCGCAAUUUUUGAGAUGGGGCCUGUUAAUUCAAUUGCCGAAGAACUAGGUUUUUAAUCAACUUUUAUAAUCGAUUUUUCCUAUUUUAUGGUGGUUUUAUUCAAUUUUGAUUAUCGAUUCAAUUUGAAGUACAAUUGUAGGAUUCAGUUUUGAUUCAAUUGCUAGAAGAAAUCGUGGCUUGAUUUGUGAUGAGCAUGAAGUUGUGUUGGCGGUUGAAUAGUGAUCAAGUAAGUCCGUUUGUUGAUUUGGAUGCGGGUUACAAUUUGAUUAAGAAGUUCGUGUUAGAUUUUGGUUUGAUUUUGAUGAUUAUUCAGUUGCUUCGCUUAAAUAGAUUUUGAUUAUUAUGCAGUCGCUGCGCCUAAAGGUUAGUGUUAGAUUUUGGUUAGAUUUUGAUUAUUAUGCAGAUGCUUCGCCUAAAGGUUCGUGUUGGGUUUGGUUUGAAUUUUGAGGAGUAUGCAGUUGGUUGUUAAUCGGUGAUCAACUAGGUCGUUUGUUGGUAUGCAAUUCAAUAUGUCUGUUUCAAAUGCGGUUGUGUUUCUUGUAGUCUCUAAACUCUUGCAUAUUUCAGGCGUUCUGUAUCUGCAACUAUGAUUUUGUCCGAGUCUCCUUGUGAUUCUCUGAUGAUGAAUAAGUUGAGGAUUUGGAGAUAAAAGUUUGUUAUGAAAAACUCAAAUCGUUAUGAUGAUGGUAUUUACUCGAUUUAGAUUCCCUUGUUACCAUAUAGGAGCCCUCUGUGCUGUUAAUUUCAGACUUCAUGCUUUGAAAUUCUUAAUAAUAUCUGCAAUAGUGCAAUUGGAAGUUUCCAUCGGUUCACCCCUGCUUUGGUAAACUGUAUUAUGACUUUUGGUUUGCCUUCAAGCGCAUAUGGUUUUUAUAUUCUUUAUAUUUUUGUAAAUAUUGCUAGAUACCUAGUUUUGAACUGUUUUUAACGGGUUAAUUUUCAUUUAUUUUCAUCUUUUGUUUCUGUUACUUAUUUUUCAGUUAUACUAACUUAAACAUGGGUUUUAUUUAGGACGAUGAACUUUUAACAAAAUUUUGAUUUUUUUAAAGUAAUUCAUAGGUCAUAUUUUCAUUUGAAACAAGAUUGUUUCCUUUCUAAUUUUCCCUUUUGGGUUGGAUUUUGAUACAGGAGAAGCAUGAGAAGUCGAAAUCCAAAAAAGUUGAUUCUUACUAAUAGUCAUAUUUUCAUUUGAAUUUUUUAUUUCCUAAUUAUUUUUGUGAGCUCCCCAGAUGUUUAGUUUCUUCAUAAAUAUAGUUGCUUCUGAUAUUACUAAUUGUCCAGAGACCAAAGUAUGAGGAUUCAGAGUAGUUGACUACCUCAGAUUCUAUGACAUGCUAAAUUCAUGGGACCGAAUUUUGAGGUCCGAAUUCUCUAAGUAUUGGUUAAUUUAUUGAUUAUUUUUGCUGGACGAUUUGUGUUUUGUUUUUUCUGCUGCAGUUGCUUCAUGUUGGUUGAAUUAUUCUGAAUUAUGGGGUUUGGUGUUGGAAUCUCCAGUCUCAAUAUUGCUGUCUCUGUUUCCUCCUAUUCCUGUUUUAUCAUGGAAAUUGAAUUUGUAUGCAAGUAACGCAUGCUUGUUCUUCGUGGUGGUGUCAAAAGUUUCUUUAAUUAUGUUAAUUAUCAAUUUAUCUGUAUAUUGUUGAUCUCCAUCCCUAUGUGUUUAGUAUUCCUAAGACCAGUGGGACGUUAAUUCUCAGGAUUGCUUACUUGCUUGUUGGAGAUUACAGUAUUUGAUUUCCACUCUCUCCGAGUCAUGUGUGGUAUUGGUUUCUUUCUCUCAAGGGUUGUGUUAUGUUAGUAAAUUUUAUUUGCUGUUAUUCUUUUUUGGGUCUAUUUCUAGCUUAAGCUCCCCGGUAUGCGUACUCUAUUCUGUUUUUGGGUAAUUGUUGGUAAUUUGUUUUUAAUUUUUUAUAUUUCUAUUCGUGACUUGUGGGAUUUUAGCUUUGUGCUCGAUGUUGGGACGUAGGGAUGUAACCACAUCCAGGUAACCUUUUCUGUAGAACCAGUAUAUAGUUGCAGACUUCUAACUUGUGAUCUUGUGGCUUACUCUUAAGAAUUCUUUAUUCUUUAUUGUUAAUUUUUGAAUUUUUUGUUUUCCCACGGUUACUUCUUGAUAAGUCGUUUGUUGAUUUGGAUGCAGGUUACAAUUUGAUUAAAAAGUUCGUGUUAGAUUUUGGUUUUAUUUUGAUGAUUAUGCAGUUGCUUCGCUUAUAUAGAUUUUGAUGAUUAUGCAGUUGCUGCGCCUAAAGGUUAUUGUUAGAUUUUGGUAAUAUUUUGAUGAUUUUGCAGUUUGCUUCGACUAAAGGUUCGUGUUGGGUUUGGUUUUAAUUUUGAGGAGUAUGCAAUUGGUUGUAUAGUCGGUGAUCAAGUAGGUCGUUUGUUGGUAUGUAUUCUAUAAGUCUGUUUCAAAUGCGGUUGUGUUGCUUGUAGUCGCUAAACUCUUGCAUAUUUCAGGCAUUCUGUUUCUGUUAACUAUGCUUUUCUCCGAGUCUCCUUGUGAUUCUGUGAUGAUGAAUAAGUUGAGGAUUUGGAGAUAAAAGUUUUUAUGAAAAACUCAUAUCGUAUAGAUGAUGGUAUUUACUCGAUUUAGAUUCCCUUGUUACCAUAUAGGAGCCCUCUGUGCUGUUGAUUUCAGACUUCAUGCUUUUAAUUUCUUAAUAAUAUCUGCAACGGAAGUUUCCUUCUGUUCUCCCCUGCAUUGGUAACCUCUAUUAUGACUUCUGGUUUGCCUUAAAGCGCAUAUGGCUUAUAUAUUCAUGAUAUUUUGUAUUGUAAAUAUUGCUAAAUACCUGGUUUUGAACUGUUUUGAACGAGUUUAUUUUCAGGUUUUUGUUCUGUUAUUUAUUUUUCAGUUAUACUAACUUAAACAUUUGUUUUAUUUAGAAUGAUUAACUUUUAACAAAAUUUUGAUUUUGUAAGUAAUUCAUAGGUCACAUUUUCAUUUGAAACAAAUUUGUUUCCUUUCUAAUUUACCCUUUUGGGUUUGAUUUUGAUACAGGAAAAGCAUGAGAAGUCGAAAUCCAAAUAAGUUGAUUCCUUACUAAUAGUCAUAUUUUCAUUUGAAUCAAAAUUUAUUGUUUAUAUCCUAAUUAUUUUUGCGAGCCUCCCCAGAUCUUUAGUUUCUUCAUAAAUAAAGUUGCUUUUGAAAUUGCUAAGUAUUGUCCAGAGACCAAAGUAUGAGGAUACAGAGUGGUUGACUACCUGAGAUUCUAUGACAUGCGGAAUUCAUGGGUCUUGAAUUUUGAGGUCCGAAUUCUCCAAGUAUUGGUUAAUUUACUGAGUUUUUGCUGGACGAUUUGUGUUUUUUUUUCCUACUGCAGUUCCUUCAUGUUGGUUGAAUUAUUCUGAAAUAUGGGCUUUGGUGUUGGAAUCUCCAGUCUCUAUGUUGCUGUCUGUUUCCCCCAUUCCUUUUUUAUCAUGGAAAUUGAAUUUGUAUGUAAGUAACACAUGCUUGUUCUUCGUGGUGGUGCAAAAGUUUCUUUAAUUAUAUAAUUACCAAUUUAUCAGUAUAAUGUUGAUCUCCAUCCCUACGUGAUUAGUUUUACUAAGAUCAGCGGUACGUUAAUUCUCAGGAUUGCUUUCUUGCUUGUUGGAGAUUACAGUAAUUGAUUUGCACUCUCUCUGAGUCAUGUGUGGUAUUGGUUUCUUUCUCUCAAGGCUUGAGUUAUGUUAGGAAACUUUAUUUGCUGUUAUUCUUUUUUGGGUCUAUUUCUAGCUUAAGCUCCCCAUUAUGUGUACUCUUUUCUGUCUUUUGGUAAGUGUUGUUAAUUUGUUUUUUUAAUUUUUUAUACUUCUAUUCUUGACUUGUGUGAUUAUAUGCUUUGUGCUCGAGGUGGGGGCGUAGGGAUGUAACUGUUCACAUCCAGGUAACCUUUUCUGUAGAACCACUAUAUAUUUGCAGACUUCUGACUUGUGAUCUUGUGGCUUACUCGUAAGAGUUUUUUAUUUGUGAUUUUUGAAUUUGUUGUUAUCCUAUGGUUACUUCUUGAUAUGUGGUACCUGCUGCAAUUGGUGACUGGGGAUGAAGAAUUUUCUGGUUUGUUUCUGUUACAGACAACAAUAUUUGGUAGUUCUCAUGGUGUGUAAUAUUUAGGAUCAUAGUUUAGUUUAGAAUACCAACAAUAAUUUUUUCCUUUGAACACGCAUUUUAUCGACAUGGACAUGGUUUAUCUAAUCUAUGGGGUGGAGGAAAUUUCUUUCCUGUUUGUCCAUUUCCCUGAAGAAAGCAACAUUUAUCUACAUUCGCCUCACAUACUAUUAUUACCGUCCCUUAGGUGCUAAGCGGUGGCAACUGCAGGGGCGACAGGUUUUUCUGAUUCAUUUGUUUUUUCACCUACAUAAUGUUCUAUGAUUUUCUAUUGGCACAUAAUUUGGUUCUUGUGAUAGUUAAGUUAUUGCUUAUUGUGGUAGGUAGCAUCUCCAUUGUGAUAGCAUGCUUGCUGGAAAGUGAUUGGUUUCUGAUAGUAUUUCAGAGUAGGUAUUAUUUUCUUUAAGGCUAGUGUGGCAGUAUCCUGUUUCUUAAUAAUUUUUUACUCUGUGGGUGAAUUUCUAGCUUCAGCUUCCUGGUAUGUGUACUUUCCUUUUUAGUUUUUUGGUACACUUUGAAUCAUAGUUGAUUUACUUUUUGUCUUAUUCCAUGGAGCCCUCUAUUUUUCCUAUCAACAAUUACUUCGCCAUCAGAAUCACACAUUGGUGGCAGAUAAUAACUACUUAUCUAAGGUAAACAAACAACUGCUUCUCUAUUGGAUGCCGUGUUGAUCAAAGGACAUUAUGUUGAUCCAACUGCCAUAUUUCUUGGAGCAAAAUUACGGUUUUGUUUGUUUGUGCAUUUUCUGCGCGACUUGCUGAUUAAUUAUUGCUGAUAAAUACUGGCUUUGUUGGAUGCAAAGUUUUUCUAGUUUCUUGUUUCGACUGUUGUGGCGCUUAACUUUUGCAGAUUAAUGGUGUUCUCUUCCUUCCACUUCCAUUUUCUGUUGUGAAGUCAUCUCUUGAUUCAUGAUUAAGUGGUUAGUCAUAACCAAUUAACUAAUAAAUUAUUAUCAAACUGGGACUCAUUGGUGUUUGUUUCAGGCUUGUUGCUUAUUUUCUUGAAAAAAGAUCCUCAUUAUCAAGUAGGUAAUUUCUAUUUAAGCAUUAUACCGGCCUGUGACUUGUCUGCAGCCUGCACACAAUGAAUUUCUUGUGAGCAGUACACGAUUUUUGCUGUAGGUUAAUAAUAGUUGUUCCUCUAAAUUGAAGGCAAUCUGGUUAACAUAUAUGUGUAAAAUGAGCAAUUCCCUUGGAUAGUGUCAUUUAAAAAUGAAAAUUACCGACGUUGAUGAUAGGCGAACAAUUCGGAGUUUGGUGGCUUAUUGAUUACUUUUGCUGGAAGAGUUUUCUUUGUUUUGUCUUCAAUGGUCAUGCAGUUGCUUCUCGAUGGUUGAUUAAUUGGUGAUCAAGUAGGUUGGUUGUUGACUCCAGUUUACGGUAAUGUUAUUUGCAGAAAGGUUUGUGCUAAAUGAUUUCGUAAUCUUUUCUGUACAGUUGUUUCAACUAGGGUUGUUCCUGUAGUUUGCUUAAUCUCUUGCAGUUCUGUUUUUGCUUUGGCCUCUUGAAAUCCUCGUUGUUUUCUUUUACUGGUUUCAUUAACAAGUGAUGGUGGAUUUGGACAAAGUUCCCCUUGAAACCAAAUGAGUUGCCUUGGUUGAUUGAGUUUUUCUGAUUCAUUUGUUUUUUCUCCUACAUAAUGUUCUUUUUCUAUUGGCAAGUAUUUUGGUUCUUGUGGUAGUUAAGUCAUUGCUUGUUGUGGUAGGUAGCAUCUCCAUUGUGAUCGCAUGCUUGCUGGAAAGUGCAUGGUUUCUGAUAGUAUUUAAGAGUAAGUAUUAUUUUCUUUAUGGCUAAUGUGGCAAUAUCCUGUUUCUUAAUAAUUUUUACUCUGUGGGUGAAUUUCUAGCUUCAGCUUCUUGGUAUGUGUACUUUCCUUCUUAAUUUAUUGGUACACUUCGAACCAUAGUUGAUUUACUUUUUUUUUUAUUCCAUUGAGCCCUCUAUCUUUCCUAUCAACAAAUUACUUCGCCAUCGGAAUCACAAAUUGGUGGCAGAUAAUAACUACUGAUCUAAGGGAGUUUUAUACCUGUUCCUUCUAAUAUUUCCCCAGACUAAUGUAAGUGCAAACAUCCUUAGGCCAUGAAUUGUUCUGUAGGUAAACAGACAAUUGCUUAUCUAUCGGAUGUCGUGUUGAUCAAAGGACAUUAUAUUGAUCCAACUGCCGUAUUUCUUGGAGCAAAAUUACGGUUUUGUUUAUUUGUGCAUUUUCUGCGCGACUUGCUGAUUAAUUAUUGGUGAUAAAUACUGGCUUUCUUUGACGCAAAGUUCUGUUAGUUUCUUGUUUCGACUGUUGUGGCGCUUAACUUUUGCAGAUUUAUGGUGUUCUCUUCCUUCCACGUACUUCCAUUUGCAGUUGUGAAGUCAUCUCUUUAUUCAUGAUUAAGUGGUUAGUCAUAAUCAAUUAACUAAUAAAUUGUUAUCAAACUGGACUCGUUGGGGUUUGUUUCAGGCUUGUUGCUUAUUUUAUUGAAAAUCGAUCAUCACUGCAGAAAGGUAAUUUCUAUUUAAUCAUUAUACCGGCCUGUGACUUAUCUGCAGCCUGCACACAAUUAAUUUCUUGUGAGCAGCACACGAUUUUUGCCGUAGGUUAAUAAUAUUUGUUCCUCUAAAUUGAAGGCAAUCUGCUUAACAUAUAUGUGUAAAAUGAGCAAUUCCCUUGGAUAGUGUCGUUUAAAAAUGAAAAUAAGUGACGUUUAUGAUAGACGAACAAUUCGCAGUUUGGUGUCUUAUUAAUUACUUUCGCUGGAAGAGUUUUCUUUGUUUUGUCUUCAAUGGUCAUGCAGUUGCUUCUCGAUGGUUGAUUAAUUGGUGAUCGAGUAGGUUGUUUAUUGACUCCAUUUUAUGGUAAUGUUAUUUGCAGAAAGGUUUGUGCUAAAUGAUUUCAUAAUCUUUUCUGUACAGUUGUUUCAACUACGGUUCUUCCUGUAGUUUGCUUAAUCUCUUGCAGUUCUGUUUUUUCUUUGGCCUCUUGAUAUCCUCAUUAUUUUCUUUACUGGUUUCAUUAUCAAGUGAUGGUGGAUUCGGACAAAGUUCCUCUUGAAACCAAAUGAGUUGGCUUGGUUGAUUGAGUUUUUCUUAUUCAUUUGUUUUUUCUCCUACAUAAUGUUCUUUUUCUAUUGGCAAGUAUUUUGGUUCUUGUGGUAGUUAAGUCAUUGCUUAUUGUGGUAGGUAGCAUCUCCAUUGUGAUAGCAUGCUUGCUGGAAAGUGAUUGGUUUCUGAUAGUAUUUUGGAGUAAGUAUUAUUUUCUUUAAGGCCAGUGUGGCAGUAUCCUGUUUCUUAAUAAUUUUUUACUCUCUGGGGGUGAAUUUCUAGCUUCAGCUUCCUGGUAUGUGUACUUUCCUUUUUAACUUUUUGGCACACUUUGAACCAUAGUAGAUUCACUUUUUGUCUUAUUCCAUGGAGCCCUCUAUUUUUCCUAUCAACAAUUACUUCGCCAUCAGAAUCACACAUUGGUGGCAGAUAAUAACUACUGAUCUAAGGGAGUUUUAUACCUGUUCCUUCUAACAUUUCCCCAGACUAAUUUUAGUGCAAACAUCCUUAGGCCAUGAAUUGUUUUGUAGGUAAACAGACAACUGCUUCUCUAUUGGAUGCUGUGUUGAUCAAAGGACAUUAUGUUGAUCCAACUGCCAUAUUUCUUGGAGCAAAAUUACGGUUUUGUUUGUUUGUGCACUUUCUGCGCGGCUUCCUGAUUUAUUAUUGCUGAUAAAUGCUUGCUUUCUUGGACGCAAAGUUUUUUUAGUUUCUUGUUUUAACUGUUGUGGCGCUUAACUUUUGCAGAUUUAUGGUGUUCUCUUCCUUCCACUUCCAUUUGCUGUUGUGAAGUCAUCUCUUGAUUCAUGAUUAAUUGGUUAGUCAUAAUCAAUUGACUAAUAAAUUAUUAUCAAACUGGGACUCGUUGGGGUUUGUUAGGCUUGUUGCUUAUUUCUUGAAAAUAGAUCCUCAUUAUCAAGUAGGUAAUUUCUAUUUAAGCAUUAUACCGGCCUGUGACCUUGUCUGCAGCCUGCACACAAUGAAUUUCUUGUGAGCAGUACACGAUUUUUGCUGUAGGUUAUUAAUAGUUGUUCCUAUCUUGAAGGCAAUCUGGUUAACAUAUACGUGUAAAAUGAGCAAUUCCCUUGGAUAGUGUCGUUUAAAAAUGAAAAUUACCGACGUUGAUGAUAGGCGAACAAUUAGGAGUUUGGUGGCUUAUUGAUUACUUCUGCUGGAAGAGUUUUCUUUGUUUUGUCUGCAAUGGUCAUGUAGUUGCUUCUCGAUCGUUGAUUAAUUGGUGAUAAGGUAGGUUGUUUGUUGACUCCAUUGUUCGAUAAUGUUAUUUGCAGAAAGGUUUGUGCUAAAGGAUUUCGUAAUCUUUUCUGUACAGUUGUUUCAACUACCGUUGUUACUGUAGCUUGCUUAAUCUCUUGCAGAUCUGUUUUUGCUUUGGUCUCUUGAAAUCCUCGUUGUUUUCUUUACUGGUUUAAUUAUCAAGCGAUGGUGGAUUCGGAAAAGUUCCUCUUGAAACCAAAUGAGUUGACGGUAUUUUCAUAGUUUACAAAUAGUUGAACAUCUGAUGAUGGUGUAAUUAGCGUUUAAACAACUGAUGGUUUUAAUUUUGAUUCUACUCAUUCUCAAUUCGGGGCCUUAAUGUUGUCAAUUCAAUUGUUAUACUGUUUCCUCGGAAACCUGCCUGCAGUGCGUUCUAUCUUCUCUUCCAUUUGAUCAUGGACCUAUUUGCAGCAAGUAUAGGAUAUUGGAUACAUCUGAAGAAAUGCAAACUUGUGAUUUGGGAUGGUGUUGUGAGUCGUUCUCUUUUCUUUUGUCUGAUUACUUACCUUCAAAACCGAAUUUCACAAGCUAUAGUAUGUAGGUUGCAUAUAUUUCAACAUCUGAUGGCGUGGUCAACGUUAAAAACAUUAUUUGUUGAUGCUUUUAAUUUUCAGUGUAUUCAUUGUCAAAUUGUGAUUCUAUUCAUUCUCAAACUGGGACCUUGAUAUGUUGUCAACUUUAGUUUUUAUACAGACUACAGCAUGUUGUGUUGUACGUAAUCUUCUCUUCCUGUUUGAUCAUGGACCUAUUUUUGCACGUUAGGAAAUUGAAUCCAUGUGUAAGUAACAGAUACUUGUGAUGUGGGACGGUGUCGCGUCACUAUUUUAGUCAUUUAUCUGAUUAGAGGGUGGUUAGGCUGUUGCUAUUUUGUCAUCAGUAGCAUCUCUAGUGUUGCUUGCUUUAUCUGGACUCUGGAAAUUUCAGUGAUUGAUUUUUACAAUUUUUGGUUCUUAUGGUGUUUGGUUAUGUGCUCCUAGGAUUUUGCAGGAAUUUAGUUUCUUCAUGACAUUAUUUUUUUGUCAAUUUUGUAGCUGGUAGCAAGUGUUGAUAAUUUCCUUUUUACUGUUUAUAUUCUGAAGAUUUUGCUCAUCUUGGUUGGUAUUCAUUAUAUUAUUUUUUUGUCAAUUUUGUAGCUGGUAGCGAGUGUUGAUAAUUUCCUUUUUACUGUUUAUAUUCUGAGAUUUUGCUCGUCUUGUAUGGAGAUAGCUCAUGCUUCGAUGACUUUGAAUUAUAUGGGUCUCACUAGAGUUGGUGGCGCAGGAUCUUGAUAAGAGAUGUCUUGAAGUGUACAUGCAGCUUCCCAUCCUGUCCAUUCCCUCCUAAAUCUGGGAUUUAUUAGGUUUGCUGUGGCUCGCUUGUAAUUUUUGUUGGGUAAAUUGGUUUCGAUUGGUUUGGAACUGAUGCUGCGUAAGUUGCUUUGAGUGGAUGUCAAAAACUUUAUGGUUUGAUUUAUUGCAGAAACUAUGCAUCUUUUUAUGGUUCUGGUUCUGGUUCUGAUUCUGUUACCGAAAAUAAAAUUAUUAUGCGAACAUCCUUAGGUUGUCUUAUUUUGUAGGUAUACAACCAGUCUUUUUGGCAUUAGACCUCAUUCAACCAAAAUGAUUAUAUGCAGGAGUUUCGCAUCUAGAUCCAUUACAUGAAGAUUUAAAAAAAAAAAUUAGAUUCUGGUAUUAGAAUAUUUCCCUUUAUGCUCCUCAUAGAAUGUGUAUUUUGUUGUUGAUGCUCCUUACAUAAUUUGUUGGAUGAAAAUCAUUUAGCAUGCUAAUGCUCUUAAUUCUAAAUGUCCGAAUGGUGUGGGGUAUUCAAGCUUUUAAUGCACCGAGUGAUAUGAUGUGGCAUGCCUUCUACCUUAUUUUCUUUUGCCCUAAUAACCUGUGGAGCCAUUUUAUAUCCCCUGCUUUCUGCUAAGGUGCUUGACUCAUGCAGCUAGUUCCGGUUUCUAUGUUAAUACUGAUUGUUAAGAGCCUUCAGAUAUGGAGCUCGGAUUUUGACUAUCCUCUUUCCCUCUCUCCCUCUCUUGUGGUUGGAGAAUGUAAGUGAGUCAUUAAGCUUUGCCUGGUAAAGAUUGUCCCAAGCUCUAGGUUGAGUUUCUCACUCUCUUGCAGUUUCUCCUACGGUUUGGUUUUAGUAUUUAAUCUACUUCUGUUUCUCUUGGCUGCAGUGAAUGUGAAUCAGCUGUGAUUGCCCCAAUUCUUACAACAUUUUGAUAUUUGUUCAGGGUUGGUAUUGGUACUUGAUGUGAGUUGUGGUAUGAGGUUUUAGUUUUGUUGGCGCGCCUUUUAGUUUCUGACAUGUGCGUAAGAAGUAGGUUAUGUUUCCAGAAUUGUUGUGGCUUGACAAUGAUUAUUUAUAAUGAAGAGGGGUAGGUUUCGAGAUAUUGUUUUUUGGUUUUACUGUUCUGUGUGGUCUCAGAUGUUGUUCUCUUUUCUUGUGGUCCUAUUGCUCUGAGUGUCCUUGUUUAUGACUUUUUGUUGACGAGUGUGAGAUUUAGUAGUUUUUAUGAUAUGCUGUCUUGGAAAGGUUAUACUUUGAACUCGUGGGCUUCCUUUCGCUGAUAUGCAAUCACUUUUGUGUGCUUUACUUGUGGAAUUUUAUACUUGUAUACAAUCUGUAGCUUGCUUUUCGACAUGCCCAUCAUUAUGAUAAGUUAAUUUUGAUUUUGGGAUCCCUGAUACUGUUUUAUUUCUUGGCUUCUUGCAUCAUCCCUCGUAACUUCAGGAGUUCAACUGUUCCAUGGUUAUGAUUUUCUGAAUUUUGAUGGUUUCAAGAGAAUAUCUUCAGAAGUCUUUUCCUCAUUGUGACUUGCUAGGUGAAAUUGCUCUAAGAUUUCUUGUUGGUUUCUUUUCCUGAAGCGUUUCAUGACUUACUUCUUGCUUUCAUAAUUGUUGGUGCACUUUGAAGUAUUUGACAUGGGUUGCAUUUGGAGGUCUUCUGAACAUUUUGAUGGUGAUGUCUUGUAUAUUUGCACACUGGACCUGCAGAGUGUAGUUGGUUAUUUUUACAAAGAUUUUGGACUCCUUUCCCUUCAUAAUCUUUUAACUUUUUACCUUUGGGAGUUUAUAUUUUCUAUAUUUUCUUGAUUUAUUUAGUUAAGCAGUUAUAUUGGCUGACUUCACACUCUGUUGCUUACAUGAUAUAUGAAGGUGGAAUCUCCUUUUCCUGGAGUCAUCUGGAAGCUCAAGAUAAUAUUAAAUUUCGGGUUAAGCUGUCUCUUUGGCAUAUCAUUAGUGUGUGUUCUCUUUCUUCUUGAGUUAAUUUGGUAGUAGUUGCUGUUGAUUUUUCUGCUCGGGCAAAAGUUCAUGCGAAGUUGGUUAUCUGUGUUGUGACUGGUUCUGCAGAAAUCUUCUGUUGGGAAGUGGGGUGUUGCCUGUAAUAUUUCUUCUUAUUCCAGUGGGAUUCCUCCGUACCUUGUACAAGUGUCAGCAUUGCUCAAUUAUAUGCCAACAUUUGCUUGUUUAGUAGGCUCCAAUACACCAGGUUUAUUUGUCUGGAAAAUCACGCUGGGUAAAGAUGUCUCAGGUUAUGUUUUUUGGAUAUCAAGGGUAAGUUCUAAUGGUUUGGGAUGUCAGGAAUAAGUUCCAAUGCUUUGGAAUAUCAGGGAUAUGUUCUAUUGUUUUCGGGGCUUUAAUGAUUCCAUGAUUUCAACGCAGAUAUAUUAGACAUAUGUUAUCUUUUUGUUCUGGUGCAAGAUGUGGUAGAUACACAUGGUUUUGGGACAAUGGUAAUUUGUUUUUGGGACUUUUUGCUAUGUUUCAUAUUAUCGGAUACAGAGAAAAAGAGAUGCGGUGUUAUAUCUUAUGUAUGUUGAUGUGAGAAUGGUGGUAUUGCGAUUUGUUGCUUUUGAAAGAGGGACGAGUUGCAAUCUGUCCCCCAUAAUUACACAACUUCUACUCCUAAAUUAUGCCAUCAGUUGGAGUUUUUAAUGGCAUUUGGUUUUGGCUCUGAGUAUUCUCCUUCAAGUUUUAUGUUGGUCUAAUGGUUUUGACAGUGGUGAUACACACACGUACACAAUAGGGAGGCAGAGGUUUGGUGUAUAAGGGAAUUUCUGAUUUUCUUUGUCUCUGAUGAUCUGAUAUUGAGUCUCCUGGUAUUGAUUAUGAACAUUCCUCAGUUCGUGUCGAGGUUUAUGAUAAAGGUUGCUAUGUGAUUUUCUGUUCUACAUCUUCUAUGAGUUUUAGGAUGUGAUCGUCUGGGUACCAUGUCAAUUGGUGUUAGUUUCCAAGGUAGGGAGUUCUGGUGUGAUUGUCUGGGAACCAUGUCUAGUGGCAAUGUUUUUAGGUAGGGAGUACUGUGAGCUUUCUCCUAUGGUUGACUUGGAUUUGGUGUAUACUAUUUGAGCAAGCAGAGGGUACUGAUUUUUGUGUAACAUGUGUUGUAUUUUUUAUAUAUUUUUCUAUAAUGUUCAUGGAAGGCCACAGACCCCGUUUGUUUGGUGGUAUGAAUUUUUUAUUUUUUAUUUUUUUAUUUCGGUGUUUAGUUCAGCAAUACUGUAUAUAUUUAGUAGACAUGUAAUCCAUUUUGUAUAAUUGUUUUUUUUUGGUACUACUGCUCAUUCUUUGAUCUA